AUGGAGCUACAAGGCCUUCAAGAAGCAUUGAAAGUAGAAGUCCAAUGUCAUCAGAAGCUCGCUGUCAGAAGUUGUCCUGUGGGGACGGCCGCCAAACCCCUCGCCCUCAUCAAGCCGCCCAGCCAGAGCAUCGCCAUCUCUGUGGUGCAAGCAAAGACUCCUGUUUCCAUGGUGACGGCACACAUUAAUGGACAAAAGGCGUUGAGUUCUGAGACGCUCCAGACAUCCCCCAUCAACCUCCAAACACCCGCUGGACAGCACAUCAGCUGCUCACAGGUACAAUUACACAACACUUUACUAACAUCAGCCAGCCACAAAUACAAUAAAUUCAUCCGAAGCACUUCCAUCACAACCUCUACAGAUAUACUUCGUCAUUCUGAAAUAGUUCAGCAUGAAACAGGAGCGGACCCUCAACCUCACGACACAAUUACAGUAAUGUACAACAUCAUGCAUUGACAGAUGAUACAUUCAACCAAGUGGGCUUCUCAGUGUGGGUCAGUUCUGCCUGGAAGUGCUGUCCCCUUGCACAAAGUGUGCACUUAAAGCAUUAGUUCACUUCCCGAAUCAAAAAAAUCCUGAUAAUUUUCUUACCUCCAUGUCAUCCAAGAUGUUCAUGUCUUCAGUCGCAAAGAAUUUAAGGUUUUUGAGGGAAACAUUCCAGGAUUUUUCUCCAUAUAUUGGACUUAAAUGGUGGCCAACAGGUUCAAAUUGCAGUUUCACUGCAGCUUCAAAGGGCUCUACAUGAUCCCAGCCGAGGAAUAAGGGUCUUAUCUAGUGAAACGAUCAGUCAUUUUCUAAAAAAAUUAAAAUUUAUUUACUUUUUAACCACAAAUGCACAUCUUGCACUAGCUAUGCUAUGCACGUCUGCAAAUUCACACAUUAUGUAAUCAUGUUGGAAAGGUCACACACGGUUAGCUCUUUUUCUGUAAACUCUGGUUUAGAAAGGUAGGGUAGGGCAAAAAACUCUCAACAUCUAGUUUGUAGACAGAUUUUUGUUUUUCUGGUUAAAAUUGGGAUUGUGCUUGUAAAUCAGUGACUGAUAAGAAUGCUUGUUAUUGUUACUACUAAAUAAAAAUAACAAAAUAAAAAAAUGUCACUGUUGUAAUAAAACUAUUUCACUAUUAAAUAAAAUCAGGGUAUUUAAUAAUAAUAGUAAUAAUUAAUUUUACAGAAAUUUUACAGUUUUUGGAAAACUGCAGGUGACCUAUUAACAUAGAGGCGCCUAUAACUUUAAACCAUUAGGAAGGUCUAAGGUUUUAUCACAAAAUAUUAUAUUAUUAUGAUAACAUAUACAACAACACUCUCUUAAUUUUUGCCAGGAGGUCAGAAGUCUGUGCCUUAAAUAUGAAAUGUCAGCCUCUUAUACAUCCACUGAGAAAAAACCCCUGGGCUGCAUUUCCCAAAAGCAUCAUAAGCCUAAAUAGAUCAUAGAUCCAUUGCUAACAAUGGUCUCUACAAUCAACUUAGCUUACGAUGCUUUUGAGAAAUGCAGCCCUGUACACUUCUCAGAGUCCUCUACUAAACUACUGUACAUCCCUUUUCAUCCAAAAGUGUAAAUUUCAUUAGAGAGAAAUGCUAAUUUCCCUAUUUUUACCCAAAAUAGGUUGGUGUGAGCAUUACUGAGUGCUAAACACAUGUAAUAUUUCAUUUAUACUGGAAGCUGGAAGGUGCCUUAGUGCAGAAAUUCCAAAAUUGCCUCAUAGAAGUAAUAUAUCUUAUGACGCUCCAGUUGAUCCCUAAUGUGGAUGCAGACAUUGAGCUAUUGCUGUAGCUGAAUUAAAAAUAAAGAGGAAAAAUUUGAUUAAACAUGAAGACACACAGCUGCGACAAGCAUGGUUUACAUAUACAUACGUUUUAUUCAAAUUAAUUGUGCAACUUCUGUAAACAAAAUAUUGUAUUUUUAAUUUUUAGUUAAGACUAUUAAGAUUGUUCUUCACUCACUCACUCACUCACUCACUCACUCACUCACUCACUCACUCUGUCUUGCCUUUUGUUGUCAGUUGUCUUAUGCUAUGCUCAUAUGUUUGUCCACAGACGUUUACAGACAAGUUUUUUAUUUACUCAGAUCAUACAACACUGGACACACUCAAAGUACAGUAUUACGAUACAUUUGUUCUUCUGUCACUCAUACUACUAUCAUACUAUUUUGUUGAAUUAAUUGAAAUAAUCUGUCCACAAACUUCUGAAAAACAAAGCAUUUUUUAUUGUUUGGCAAACAGGUACAGUGUUUCAAAAUAUUGUACAGUCAUCAGUAGCCUUGUUGUUUACAUCAAAUAAAAAAUAUGGUCUGCUCUGGUUGGAGUGUGUCCUGGUGCAGGUCUUUAUAAAUAAUAGCACCUUCCCAACAGAAGAGACUCUUUAUUCGCAUGAGUAGUCACCCCCUCCACUGUUUCUUUCACUCUUCCUCCCCCUUCUCUUUCCCUUCCCCCUCCUUCAUGCUGGAACGCUGUGAUUGUUUUACUGCCUUUUAUAGCUGUAUUGUUUGGGAGAGUGAAGCUGUUUUCAGCUCUCCCAGCUGCCAACUGAUUCAAACCCUAAAAUACCCAUCACACUGGAGGAGGAGAACCAAUCACAGCCUUUUUGUUUUGUUUGAUGAAUACAGGAGGGGGGAGGACAUCUCAGACCACCUGGCCAGUCAUUUGGAGCCGGAUAAUAAGUUGAUUGUGGUCCGGUGUGGAUGCAUAUGCUAACAGCAUCAUUUAAGCACACAUGUACCAUAUGAAGCAGUUUUACAAAAACAAAACAACAAGGAUAAAACAGCAAAUAGUUGUAGUAUGUGUGUUUUUUUUUGUUUUUUUUUAAGUUUUUAUUAAAUAAUUAUUUUUUUUAUUUAUGAGUGCCUUUCAAGACACUCAAGGACACCUUACAAUAAAAAAAUACAUAAUUAAAGCAGAAGAAAACACAAUAAACAAUAAUACAAAGAAAAAGCAAUACCCAAUAACGUAACUAAAUCACUCAGGAUAGGCUAAUCUAAAAAAAAUGAGCUUUGAGAGGCUAUUUAAAAAAUUGAGAUACUAAAACUAUUAUGUAUGUCCUGAGGUAGAAUAUUCCAAAUCAGUUAUAAGAAUUAGCAACAUCUUUACCAAAGUUUGUAUGAUUGGAUUUGUAAAUCGCCAGUGGAUAGCAAAGGUUAGGGCUGUUGCAUUUUUUCAUGUGCACUCCUGACAUAUAUUAAAAAUUGUCACCCCCUCCACUGUCACCCCCUAUCAUUUUAAUCAUAAUUGUUGAGAAUUUUUUUUUUUGAUGAUAUACAGUUUUUUGAGAUGAAAUAAGAUUUGAGGAGCAUACAGUACAUUUAAAACAAAUUUGUAAAGAAUAUUAUUAUUAUUAUUAUUAUU
rnacentral:lncRNA from 1 species